rnacentral:piRNA from 1 species
UAACAACGAGGUAUCUACAGAAACAGUA